rnacentral:misc_RNA from 1 species
GAUGAAGAACGCAGCGAAAUGCGAUAAGUAGUGUGAAUUGCAGAAUUCAGUGAAUCAUCGAAUCUUUGAACGCACAUUGCGCCUCCUGGUAUUCCAGGGGGCAUGCCUGUUCGAGCGUCAUUUGUACCUUCAAGCUCUGCUUGGUGUUGGGUGUUUGUCUCGCCUCUGCGUGUAGACUCGCCUUAAAACAAUUGGCAGCCGGCGUAUUGAUUUCGGAGCGCAGUACAUCUCGCGCUUUGCACUCAUAACGACGACGUCCAAAAGUACAUUUUUACACUCUUGACCUCGGAUCAGGUAGGGAUACCCGCUGAACUUAAGCAUAUCAAUAAGCGGAGGA